GCUUUACUGUAGCCUGGAAUUGGGUUCGGGCUUUAACUGCGCAGGAUAGGUGGGAGGCUAUGAUCUAACUCUUGUGGGAGUUAGGGAGCCAACGGUGAGAUACCACUCUGUUAAGGCUAGAAUUCUAACUUGUUGCCGUUAUCCGGCAUGAGAACAGUUUCAGGUGGGCAGUUUGACUGGGGCGGUCGCCUCCUAAAUGGUAACGGAGGCGCGCAAAGGUUCUCUCAGGCUGGUUGGAAAUCAGCCGUAGAGUGUAAAAGCACAAGAGAGCUUGACUGUGAGACGAACAUGUCGAGCAGGGACGAAAGUCGGCUUUAGUGAUCCGACGGCAGAGCGUGGAAUCGCCGUCGCUAAACGGAUAAAAGUUACUCUAGG
rnacentral:rRNA from 1 species